rnacentral:rRNA from 1 species
UGCAACCUGAGCUCAGGCGUGACUACCCGCCGAACUU